ACCUCAUGGUGGCAACACUUUAUGCGCUAGUCACUAGACCCAUCCGAGGGGACGGGAUUGAGCAAAGCCAAAGAUGAUUUGGAAUCUCUUGGUUACGUUCUUAUGUAUUUUUUAAGAGGAAGCCUUCUUUGGAAAGGACUUAAAGUUGUCAGUAAAAAGCAAAAGUAUGACAAAAUUAGUGAGAAGAAAGUGCUUAUCCCUUUGAGAUAAUUCAAAAUUCUUCUUUUACAUACUUGAGAACAAUUUAGUCAGCCACUUUUAUUUUUAUUUCAAUUUGCAUAUUUAUUGUGCGAGAGUUUAGAUUUUUUAUGAUGUAAACUAGGCACUUUGUAAGUUAUUUCCUUCAGAAUUUAUAUCUUAUUUCCAUUACUGUUGAUCCUUGCGUUUUGAGGACAAGCUGGAUUAUUCAUACUUGAGGAGGUUAUUCCGUGAGCUAUUUAUUCGAGAAGGUAUGGGAGAGUUGAAGUGAAAUAGACUUGAGUUUUGAGAAUGUCAACAUUUUGCAUAUGAAGACAUUAGAGAAAUGAAUACUUAGCUUUUGAUGUAAAUGGAUGUUAAUUUUACUAGAUGAUUACUAGACAUUUGAUAUAUAGCUUAAUGAUGUGUAGAAACAAUUAUCAUAAUUACUGAAUGAUAUUUUAAUAUA